GACGAACGCUGGCGGCGUGCUUAACACAUGCAAGUCGAACGGAAAGGCCCUGCUUUGGGGGGGUGCUCGAGUGGCGAACGGGUGAGUAACACGUGAGUACCCUGCCCUUGACGUUGGGAUAACUUCAGGCAACUGGGGCUAAUACCGGAUAGGAGCUCCUGCUGCAUGGUGGGGGUUGGAAAGUUUCGGCGGUUGGGGAUGGACUCGCGGCGUAUCAGCUUGUUGGUGGGGUAGUGGCUUACCAAGGCUUUGACGGGUAGCCGGCCUGAGAGGGUGACCGGCCACAUUGGGAAUGAGAUACGGCCCCGACUCCUACGGCAGGCAGCAGUGGGGAAUAUUGAACAAUGGGCGGAAGCGUAAUGCAGCCACUCCGCGUGCGGGAUGACGGCCAUCGGGUUGUAAACCGAAUACGCCUGUGACGAAGCGUAAAUGACCGUAAUGGGUAAAGAAGCACCGGCUAACUACGUG
rnacentral:rRNA from 1 species